ACUAAAAUGGCGCUGAUCACGUGACAGAUUUCUAAAAGGGAGCCAUUCGGCAUUUCGUUUAUUUUCGUGGAUUUCUUAAAUAUCUGUAUAUUUUUAUUAUAAAAUUUACAAAAAAAGCAUUUAACGUUUGAAAAAUACAUUUAGUUUUCAAAGAGGUAUGAUAAUCUGUGUAUUUUAUAAAUGUCCAUUAAUAAAUGGGCUUGAACGUUUGUUUUACUUAUUUAUUUAAUACUUGUAGAUAUUUCUCAUUAGAAAUGAGUGAUUAUCUACAAAUUUCACUACGUUAAUUAUUAAAUUGUUUAAGUGUAAUGCUGUUGAAUAGGAUAUUUUAUAUUAUUUAAUUAUAAAAACCUUAGGAUUUUGAACAAAGAAGAAUUGCUAAUCAUUUUUUAAAAAAAAUCCGAUGAGAACGUUUCUGACAGUGAGUGAGUAUCUAUUAAUGUUCUAGUAUGUAUUGAAAUGUAUGAAUUAUGAAUGUACAAGCAUAUUCAACGGAAGUUGUAAAGAUUGAAUAUUACUCAUAAUAUUAUAACAUCUGUUCUUAUUGUUCAUAUUUGAAAGUUAUCAAAUCAUCUGUGAAAGUAAUUCAGGACAGAGCUCAUAGUUAAAUACCGUUAAUGACAAUAUUUUUAGAGACUAGUUAGUUUCCUUUUGUAUUUAAAUAAUGGUGGCAACGGAACCCGGCAUAAUUAUCUUAAUUCUACUCUCUUUUUUUGUAAAUUGUGCAAUAAAUUACAUCUGUUUACAUAUAAAAAGUAUCAAAAAAAUUUCAUUUAUUACUCGAAUAUCCCGCCAGCCGGAUCAAGAUUGUAAAGUAAAUACAGUAUAUAUAUAUAUAUAUAUAUAUAUACGUGAAAUUUUAUUAACUAUCACUUGUAAUAAUUAAAGAAGUGUUCUUUAACUAAGCCGGUACGUAAAAAAAAUAUAACUCAAAUAUAGGAAAGAGAUUAAUUACUUUUAUAUUUAAUAAGUACUGGCUUAAGUGUUCAUGAAAAUUGGUAUUUAACAAUUAAUACUUUAGUAAUUGUUUUAUGAUUUGAUUAGUUUGAGCUGCUUAUUAAGGUCGAUUUCGAUGUAUUUUAUUAUAUUUUAAUUGUGUUUUUUAUUCUUUUUUUUUAGUAAGAAUGCCAUCGCUUCUAAGAAGGUUUAGUCUUAGGAGACCAAGAUCCAAAAAGGAUAAUAACGAUACCACAGACGCAGCAGUUGAUUCCUCGAAAAAAAAUAACGAAGAUAACAGCUCAGAAGCGAAUGAAAUUUGUCGAAGACCCUUAUCAAAAAGGGAAAGACAAGUACAAAAACGAGAAAUUCUCAAACCAGGUCAGAAAGUGAAUUUAUCAUUUGCGGGAUGUGGAUUUUUGGGUCUAUAUCAUUUGGGAGUUGCUCAAUGUUUGGUUACACACGGUAAACGCUUCUUACAAGAAAAUGUUGAAUUUUUCGCUGGGGCAUCCGCAGGAUCACUAGUUGCUGCCAUUUUAAGUGUAGAUUCAACGAAAAUUGAUAAAGGUAUAGAAGUAGCUUAUGAAUUGGCUAGAAUGGUUCACAGAAAGAAACUCGGUGUUUUAACACCAGGAGUCAGUUUAUUGGACCCACUAAAGGAGACUUUGCACAGCCUUAUACCUGACGAAGGUUACGAGGUCGCUUCUAAAAAGUUACAUAUUUCCAUUACAACACAUCGUAGACCAAGACGAAAUAAAUUAAUAAGCACUUUUCAUGAUAACAACGACUUGGUUCAGUGCCUUUUGGCAAGUUCAUAUGUACCUCAUUUAACGGGUACAGAACCAGUUGAUUUUAGAGGGUCUAAGUACAUCGACGGAGGAAUGACAGAUAAUCUUCCUAUUUUGGACAAUGGUUUAAGAACGGUUACAGUUUCCCCAUUCAGUGGCACCCAAGAUAUUUGCCCAGAAGACGGGUCUUCGCUUAACAUGCAUUGGAACAUCAAGAAACAAGACUUUCGUGUUAGCAUCCGCAACAUUAAAAGAGGCAAACAUGCUCUCUUCCCACCAAAUAACCUCUCAAAUUAUAUCGAGCGGGGAAAACGAGACGCAGAACGAUUUUUAAGAUUUAUGGGAUUGUACGAAGAGAACAAUACUGAACUUGUCGACUAGAGUUAAAAUUUUUUUCAAAUAUGGUGCACAAUUUAAUAAUAAAUCGCUUGAUUUUGGCCUACAAUAACUCAUUAACAUACAUACAUCUGAAAGCAUUAGUGUACCAUAUAUGAUAAAAGUGUCAAAAAAAAAACAAAAAAACAAAUUCAUAGUUCAAAGUCUACACUUUUGUCCUGUUUUGGUUCUUUUUCUCAUUUUAACAUUAAUAUAUUGAAUUUGAUGCUGUGCCUUUUUUCGAGAACUAUUUAUGAAAUUUUCGAAAAAUUAGUAUUAUAUUUGAUUCUCUAGAGCAAAUGUUCUCUUGCUAUUAGACCAAAAAUACGAUGAAUAAAUAUCUCAAUAAAAGAUAGUGCUGUGUUGUUUUCAUAUAGGCUUAAAUUUGUCUAUAUAAAAUAAACUUGAGCGACAUCUAGUUUCAGUUUUUGUAUAUGUUGAUUCGCUGUUCCAUUUAUAUUCUUGGAGAUAUUUCAUCAAGUGGAGUAAUAAUACGAAUAUAAUUAAGUAAGCAUAAAAAUAUUGCGUUUAUUCUUUAAAAGUUUACCUUAGAAUAUAGCAUUUUUGUGGAAAAUUUAAAUCUGCACUUACUACGUCGUAGUUUUGUCGGGAGUAUAAUCAGAACGGCCAUAAACAC
rnacentral:misc_RNA from 1 species